AUUAUGCGAAAGCACGUGAAUGUAUAAUUAAAUUGUUCGGAACAAUAUUAUUCACAGGUAAAUUUUACUCGGUGAAUUAUUCACAGUGGAUUCGACAAAUUUAAUGAGCUAACAAAGAUGAGAAAGAAUAGAGGGAGUAAUUUGAAGUUUAAGCUUAUCGAUAUUGUAUCGGAAACCUUUAUAGUGUAUUAUAAGUUAGGGUAUCACACUGUAAGGAUACUUGGUUGUAGUUAUACAUUCCAGCGUAUAAUAUGAAAUUUUCAAAGCACAUAAUAAUAAUUCGUUGUACGUUUAAUUAGUGAUAUUUGCAAGUGUCCAACUAAAUAACGUCAAACGAGUUUAUUGUUUUA